CCACAGCGCAAGAGAAUUCCUCAGAGCUGUGUUCCAGCCGUUUCAGAAAAGGACGCAUUUUCCAGAGAUGUCACUUACUCGGGGAGAGUGUGUGUUUCUCAGCUGAAACAUGUUGCAAUAAUAGCUCACAGAGUGUGAAAGAAGGACUGAGAAAGGAAGAGGGAAGCAUGUGUUGUAUCUACCAGGGCCUUGUAUUUUCACAGCAAUGUCCAAUUAGGAGAUAAAUGCAUAUUUGCUUUUCUAAAUAGAAUGCACUUAUAGCAACACUCAACUAAACUGGAGUCCACUUCUAUUAACAGCUGAAUAAAUUCUCAGAAA
rnacentral:lncRNA from 1 species